ACAGUGGACGCGAGCAUCUUUGUUGUAAGUGUUUAAGAGCGUACGGUGGAUGCCUUGGCACCAGGAGCCGAUGAAGGACGUAGGAGGCUGCGAUAAGCCUCGGGGAGCUGUCAACCGAGCUGAGAUCCGAGGAUGUCCGAAUGGGGAAACCCAGCCACAGUGAUGUGUGGUUACCCGCGCCUGAAUAUAUAGGGCGUGUGGAGGGAACGUGGGGAAGUGAAACAUCUCAGUACCCACAGGAAGAGAAAACAACAUGUGAUUCCGUGAGUAGUGGCGAGCGAAAGCGGAAGAGGCUAAACCAUGGGUGUGUGAUAGCCGGCGGGCGUUGCAUUCGUGGGGUUGUGGGAUCGUCUUGUCAAUUCUGCCGGAUUGGCGACAGUGAGAAAUCAUCGUGUUAGUCGAAGUGGUCUGGAACGGCCUGUCGUAGAGGGUGAGAGUCCCGUAGACGAAAACAUGGUGACUGUCGUGACGGACACCCGAGUAGCAGCGGGCCCGUGAAAUCUGCUGUGAAUCUGUCGGGACCACCCGAUAAGCCUGAAUACUCCCUGGUGACCGAUAGCGGACUAGUACCGUGAGGGAAAGGUGAAAAGUACCCCGGGAGGGGAGUGAAAUAGUACCUGAAACCGUGCGCUUACAAUCCGUCAGAGCCUGCGCCACUUUUGGUGGGUGGUGUAUGGCGUGCCUUUUGAAGAAUGAGCCUGCGAGUUAGCGGCAUGUCGCGAGGUUAACCGUGUGGGGUAGCCGUAGCGAAAGCGAGUCCGAAUAGGGCGUUUGUAGUGGCAUGUUCUAGACCGAAGCGGAGUGAUCUACCCAUGGCCAGGGUGAAGCGACGGUAAGACGUCGUGGAGGCCCGAACCCACUUAGGUUGAAAACUGAGGGAUGAGCUGUGGGUAGGGGUGAAAGGCCAAUCAAACUCCGUGAUAGCUGGUUCCCGAAAUGCAUUUAGGUGCAGCGUCGCGGGUUUCACUCUGGAGUAGAGCUACUGGAUGGCCGAUGGCC
rnacentral:rRNA from 1 species